CCCCUUUCCUGUUAACACAUGUACUGAUUUCACCUGUUUCACUCUUGUUUGUGCAGUUGUUUCUAGGAAAGUCUGUUUUCCUUGUUUUCAAACCUGCGCUCAUUGCAACACUUGUGAAAUGUACUGUAUUCUAUUGUAUCCACAAAGGAGACUCUCUACAGUUCUGAACUCAUUCGUUUUUCCCAAUGUCCUCUGAUUUGCCAACUUUUUCUCAUAGUCUCUGCAGAACCUAUACGACUAAGAUCCACAGAUUCUUCAUACACCCUGGACAGAACACUGUAACGGUGGAAGCAUCUCCCAUUUACAUGUGGAAGAAGUCCUGGGAACAAGGCGACAGAAGUCCUGAGAUUAGAAGUGUUCAGCAAAUGUCAGAUGUGACUCAUCUAGUCAUGAAACCCAUAUGGGGACAGUUUUCUCCAGCUAUUGGAGAAAUAGGAACUUGUUCCACUAUUGCUGACUUUAUAGCUAGAGAAAGUCACAACAAGCAACAAGGGAGGUAAGAAUGACCUUCACUUCACAUGAACAAACAAACAGAACCCUCUGUCUCACAACCAGUGGAACUGAAUUUGAUCAAACCAUGAUGAGCUUGUCUGUUUGAAUCCACAAAACUCUUAGUAGGAACUCAACCCAGCCUACUCUUGACUUCAGUCCC
rnacentral:lncRNA from 1 species